UUUUUUUUGGCAUCCAUCAGUAACAAAAAAAAGGCAUUAACAGUAACCAAAAAAAAAUUAAAAAAUACUCUCACCCUCUCUUCGCCGGCGACAACGGCGCCGGCGCCGUCGAGCUCCCUCACUCUCUCCCUCUCUCUAGACUCCACUCUCUCUCUCUCUCUCCAAAAAAAGAGAUCGGCAUCCGCGAGCUCUCCCUCUCCGGCGAUAAUGCCGUCAAACCAUACCGUUCUCCUCCAGCCGCCGACCCGACCCGAUCUCCCUCCGGCAACGGCAGCAGGCGCCAGUCAACACCCAACAAGACGACAUGAGCAGCUCCACCAGCAUCGUCGUAUGCUCCGAUCGAACCGGAGAGUGAGAUCUGAGGAUCACCUCCGUUUCCGGUUGCUGCCAAACGCACCGGAGCACAGGCGUAGCAAAGGGUCCUUUUUUUUUUAGUUCAAAAUCCACCGAAAAACAUCCCCGAGCUUUGCCUCUUACUGCUUGAUUGUUGGUCACUGUUCGGAGCUCGGAUCGUACGGUUGGACGCCGAAAUCUGACUUUUCCGGUUUUGGAGCUGUUCGGUUAUUAUUUUAAUACCGAGUUUGGUUUUCUCGUUGUGAGGUUCUCCGGUCGAGUAUUUUGAUCUUUGGAUUUCUUUAUUAUCGACAAGGAUUAAUUUCAUCGAGGUCCAUUUCUUCUAACCGAAUCUUUAAUUUAUUUUUGACUUUUCGUGAUGUUGUGGGUGUGGAUGAUUUAUUUGUCGCAUGUUUGGUAUGUUCGAAUAUGUGUUAUGUGUUGGUUGAUGUUGGUUUCAGACUUUGAAAAGUGAAUUGAUAAAUCGAAGCAUGUUUAAUCAUAUUGUUUGAAAUAAAUUUGGGGACGGGAAUCAAAAAUUGAUAAAAGUGAAUAUUAUGAUAUUUUUGAUACAUUGUUGAUGUUGAAUACGAUAUGUCGUCGAGCGGGUAGGCAAACGUAGGCCGGGUAGGCGAAAUUUAGGAAUAAGUGUUUCGUGGGAUGUUGGAAUGUGCAUGUGAAUGUCUUUUUCUAGAUUAUCGUGUUUAAUUUAGAUGUAUUUAUUUAGCCGGGGAAUGCCCCGAGAUCACUUGUAUUUAUUCACCGGGGAAUGCCCCGACGUAUCAUGUUGGCGGAGAAUUAUCGUGAUGAAGGCCCGCGGCGUCGGGUAAGGCAUUGGAGCUUAGUCUAGAUUUAGUUUAGACUAGGAUUUAUAUUUUCGUAUUUUUUUUCUAUUUUUCGGACUGUAUAAUUGGAUUGGACUUUACGUUUUUAGACUGCUUUGUUUUGUUUAUUGUUUG